rnacentral:rRNA from 1 species
UACAGAGGGUGCAAGCGUUGUUCGGAAUUAUUGGGCGUAAAGCGCGUGUAGGCGGCUUUGCAAGUCGGGUGUGAAAGCCCUCAGCUCAACUGAGGAAGUGCGCCCGAAACUGCAGAGCUUGAGUACCGGAGAGGAUGGUCGGAAUUCCCAAGUAGAGGUGAAAUUCGUAGAUAUGGGGAGGAACACCGGUGGCGAAGGCGACCAUCUGGACGGAUACUGACGCUGAGACGCGAAAAGCGUGGGUAGCAAACCAGG